rnacentral:rRNA from 1 species
GUGAGGAAUAUUGCGCAAUGGAGGCAACUCUGACGCAGCCAUGCCGCGUGCAGGAAGAAGGCGCUACGCGUUGUAAACUGCUUUUAACCGGGAAGAAACCCCAGGACGUGUCCUGGGUUGACGGUACCGGAGGAAUAAGCACCGGCUAACUUCGUGCCAGCAGCCGCGGUAAUACGAAGGGUGCAAGCGUUCUCCGGAUUCAUUGGGUUUAAAGGGUGCGUAGGCGGAGCGUUAAGUCAGUGGUGAAAUCCUGCAGCUUAACUGUAGACUUGCCAUUGAUACUGGCGCUCUUGAGUGCGCUUGAAGUGGGCGGAAUGUGCCGUGUAGCGGUGAAAUGCUUAGAUAUGGCACAGAACACCAAUUGCGAAGGCAGCUCACUAAGGCGAUACUGACGCUGAGGCACGAAAGCGUGGGGAUCGAACAGGAUUAGAAACCCCAGUAGUCC